AACGAACGCUGGCGGCAUGCCUAACACAUGCAAGUCGAACGAGACCUUCGGGUCUAGUGGCGCACGGGUGCGUAACGCGUGGGAACCUGCCCUUAGGUUCGGAAUAACUCCCCGAAAGGGGUGCUAAUACCGGAUAAUGUCUUCGGACCAAAGAUCUAUCGCCUUUGGAUGGGCCCGGGUUGGAUUAGCUGGUUGGUAGGGUAAAAGCCUACCAAGGCGACGAUCCAUAGCUGGUCUGAGAGGAUGCUCAGCCACACUGGGACUGAGACACGGCCCAGACUCCUACGGAAGGCAGCAGUGGGGAGUAUUGGACGAUGGGCGAAAGCCUGAUCCAGCAAUGCCGCGUGAGUGAUGAAGGCCUUAGGGUUGUAAAGCUCUUUUACCCGAGAUGAUAAUGACAGUACCGGGAGAAUAAGCUCCGGCUAACUCCGUG
rnacentral:rRNA from 1 species